rnacentral:rRNA from 1 species
AUUGAACGCUGGCGGCAGGCCUAACACAUGCAAGUCGAGCGGUAACACAGGGAGCCUGCUCCUGGGUGACGAGCGGCGGACGGGUGAGUAAUGUCUGGGAAACUGCCUGAUGGAUGGGGAUAACUACUGGAAACGGUAGCUAAUACCGCAUAACGUCGCAAGACCAAAGAGGGGGACCUUCUGGCCACUUGCCAUCAGAUGUGCCCAGAUGGGAUUAGCUAGGAGGUGGGGUAAUGGCUCACCUAGGCGACGAUUCCUAGCUGGUCUGAGAGGAUGACCAGCCACAAUGGAACUGAGACACGGUCCAGACUCCUACGGGAGGCAGCAGUGGGGAAUAUUGCACAAUGGGCGCAAGCCUGAUGCAGCCAUGCCGCGUGUAUGAAGAAGGCCUUCGGGUUGUAAAGUACUUUCAGCGGGGAGGAAGGUGUUGAGGUUAAUAACCUCAGCAAUUGACGUUACCCGCAGAAGAAGCACCGGCUAACUCCGUGCCAGCCGCCGCUGUAACAC